CACGGUGAAUGCCUUGGCACUAGGAGCCGAUGAAGGACGGGACUAACACCGAUAUGCUUCGGGGAGCUGUAAGUAAGCUUUGAUCCGGAGAUUUCCGAAUGGGGAAACCCCCUAUCCGUUAUGGGAUAGGAUCCAUACCUGAAUACAUAGGGUAUGGAAGGCAGACCCGGGGAACUGAAACAUCUAAGUACCCGGAGGAAGAGAAAGCAAACGCGAUUCCCUGAGUAGCGGCGAGCGAAACGGGAUUAGCCCAAACCAAGAGGCUUGCCUCUUGGGGUUGUAGGACAUUCUAUACGGAGUUACAAAGGAACGAGAUAGACGAAGAGGUCUGGAAAGGCCCGCCAUAGGAGGUAAAAGCCCUGUAGUUGAAACUUCGUUCCCUCCAGAGUGGAUCCUGAGUACGGCGGGACACGAGAAAUCCCGUCGGAAGCAGGGAGGACCAUCUCCCAAGGCUAAAUACUCCCUAGUGACCGAUAGUGAACCAGUACCGUGAGGGAAAGGUGAAAAGCACCCCGGAAGGGGAGUGAAAGAGAUCCUGAAACCGUGUGCCUACAAGUAGUUAGAGCCCGUUAAUGGGUGAUAGCGUGCCUUUUGUAGAAUGAACCGGCGAGUUACGAUUACAUGCGAGGUUAAGUUGGACAGACGGAGCCGUAGCGAAAGCGAGUCUGAAUAGGGCGAAUGAGUAUGUGGUCGUAGACCCGAAACCAGGUGAUCUACCCAUGUCCAGGGUGAAGUCCAGGUAACACUGGAUGGAGGCCCGAACCCACGUACGUUGAAAAGUGCGGGGAUGAGGUGUGGGUAGCGGAGAAAUUCCAAUCGAACUUGGAGAUAGCUGGUUCUCUCCGAAAUAGCUUUAGGGCUAGCCUCAUGCGUAAGAAUCUUGGAGGUAGAGCACUGUUUGGACUAGGGGCCCUCAUCGGGUUACCGAAUUCAGACAAACUCCGAAUGCCAAAGAUUUAUCCAUGGGAGUCAGACUGCGAGUGAUAAGAUCCGUAGUCAAGAGGGAAACAGCCCAGACCACCAGCUAAGGUCCCAAAGUAUACGUUAAGUGGAAAAGGAUGUGGAGUUGCUUAGACAACCAGGAUGUUGGCUUAGAAGCAGCCACCAUUUAAAGAGUGCGUAAUAGCUCACUGGUCGAGUGACUCCGCGCCGAAAAUGUACCGGGGCUAAACGUAUCACCGAAGCUGUGGAUUGAACAUCGUUGAUGUUCAGUGGUAGGAGAGCGUUCUAAGGGCGUUGAAGCUAGACCGUAAGGACUGGUGGAGCGCUUAGAAGUGAGAAUGCCGGUAUGAGUAGCGAAAGAUGGGUGAGAAUCCCAUCCACCGAAUGCCUAAGGUUUCCUGAGGAAGGCUCGUCCGCUCAGGGUUAGUCGGGACCUAAGCCGAGGCUGAAAAGCGUAGGCGAUGGACAACAGGUUGAUAUUCCUGUACCACCGUAUUCUGUUUGAGUGAUGGGGGGACGCAGGAGGAUAGGGUAAGCGCACGAUUGGAUGUGCGUCUAAGCAGUUAG
rnacentral:rRNA from 1 species